UACAGAGGUCCCGAGCGUUGUUCGGAUUCACUGGGCUUAAAGCGUGUGUAGGCGGAUCUGUAAGUACCUUGUGAAAUCCCACGGCUCAACCGUGGAACUGCUUGGUAUACUGCGGGUCUUGAGCCACCUAGGGGCAAGUGGAACAAACGGUGGAGCGGUGAAAUGCGUAGAUAUCGUUUGGAACGCCAAUGGUGAAAACAACUUGCUGGGGGUGUGCUGACGCUGAAACACGAAAGCCAGGGGAGCAAACGGG
rnacentral:rRNA from 1 species